rnacentral:rRNA from 1 species
GACGGAGGAUGCAAGUGUUAUCCGGAAUCACUGGGCGUAAAGCGUCUGUAGGUGGUUUAACAAGUCCACUGUUAAAGAUUGAAGCUUAACUUCAAAAAUGCCGUGGAAACUUUUAAUCUUGAGUAUGAUAGGGGUAGAGGGAAUUUCCAGUGGAGCGGUGAAAUGCGUAGAUAUUGGAAAGACCACCAAUGGCGAAGGCACUCUACUGGGCCAUUACUGACACUGAGAGACGAAAGCUAGGGGAGCGAACGGG